rnacentral:hammerhead_ribozyme from 1 species
AUCCGUCUGACGAGUCCCAAAUAGGACGAGACGCGCGUCCUGGAU